rnacentral:rRNA from 1 species
GCACUGAUUUCACCGGAGCUUGCUCCAUCGGGAUCAGUGAGUCGCGAACGGGUGAGUAACGCGUAGGUAACCUGCCUGAUAGCGGGGGAUAACUAUUGGAAACGAUAGCUAAUACCGCAUAAGAUCUUUUAUCGCAUGGUAGGAGAUUAAAAGGUGCAAUUGCACCACUAUCAGAUGGACCUGCGUUGUAUUAGCUAGUUGGUGAGGUAAGAGCUCACCAAGGCGACGAUACAUAGCCGACCUGAGAGGGUGAUCGGCCACACUGGGACUGAGACACGGCCCAGACUCCUACGGGAGGCAGCAGUAGGGAAUCUUCGGCAAUGGGGGGAACCCUGACCGAGCAACGCCGCGUGAGUGAAGAAGGUUUUCGGAUCGUAAAGCUCUGUUGUAAGCGAAGAACGGGGAUGGGAGUGGAAAGCCCAUUUUGUGACGGUAGCUUACCAGAAAGGGACGGCUAACUACGUGCCAGCAGCCGCGGUAAUACGUAGGUCCCGAGCGUUGUCCGGAUUUAUUGGGCGUAAAGCGAGCGCAGGCGGUUAGAUAAGUCUGAAGUGAAAGGCUGUGGCUUAACCAUAGUAUGCUUUGGAAACUGUUUAACUUGAGUGCAGAAGGGGAGAGUGGAAUUCCAUGUGUAGCGGUGAAAUGCGUAGAUAUAUGGAGGAACACCGGUGGCGAAAGCGGCUCUCUGGUCUGUAACUGACGCUGAGGCUCGAAAGCGUGGGGAGCGAACAGGAUUAGAUACCCUGGUAGUCCACGCCGUAAACGAUGAGUGCUAGGUGUUAGGUCCUUUCCGGGACUUAGUGCCGCAGCUAACGCAUUAAGCACUCCGCCUGGGGAGUACGACCGCAAGGUUGAAACUCAAAGGAAUUGACGGGGGCCCGCACAAGCGGUGGAGCAUGUGGUUUAAUUCGAA